AUUCUAUAGCAGUAGAUUCACAAUUUCAGAUUGUACAUUUACAUCUUUAAUCAAUUUUGAGGUUUUGUUUUCAUACAGGAGUGAGCUGAAGAAUAACUGAAAUAAUAUACUCUCCACUGAAAAAUCAAGAUGCAUGCAUAUUAUUCUGUGAUGCAAUCUUUUACAAAGAAGCUGGCCCCACGUGUCUCCAUGUAUAACGGGAAUGAAUGGCUGUGACUGGAAAGGGACACUUUCAUUCUUUGUAGAGUGACCAGGUACCAUCGAAUAGACAUUUACUUUGUGUAACUGAUUGUUUCUGAUGUAGUAAAGACUGUAUUUUUACAUUAAAG
rnacentral:lncRNA from 1 species